rnacentral:lncRNA from 1 species
GCAGUGGGGUCUGGCGUCCCGGCGACGGUCGCCGUCGUCCUCGUUAGUAUAGUGAUCCAGAAGUUCUACUUCUAACCUAAAAUCCUACACAAUGGUUGCUUUGUAAAACACGUUUCCUAACAUCCUCCACCCUACACGUUUAGAGGUCCUCUAGUACCAAACUAGAGGCUCCUGUACUUUUCCCUCCAGAAACAAAUCCUUUGAGAGCUGCUUUCCUGCAGAACCUCGCAGCCAGCAAGACUUUGCAGAAUGACAAAUAAAAGCAAAUAAAAAGCCCCAUCAUAGGAAGGACUAUGGAAGAAAGGAAAAAGCUUUAUAGUUCACUACCCUUCACAGCACUUUUCUUGCUGCUUUUUUCAGAAGAGGUUGCAUUUUCACUUUGCACUAGACCCGACAAUUUAUGUAGCUGAUGCUGGUACCAGAAGAAUCUGAGCAGGAAACGAAUCUGGCCAAAGCACGUGGUUGGAUUUUCCUGACCCAGUGCUUCGAAAAGGCCAGACCUCACCUCUGCUCCGCCUGCCCCCACUCUUGGAUCCAGCAGCCUCACACUUCCCAGGCCUCUGCCCUGACAUCUGCCUCCCUAGAAGGAUGAAGAGCAGCAGCGCCUGGAAUUCCAACCACCUGCCACAGUCUUGCAUGGCACAGGUGACUACUGCUGAUGUGGUGGAAAUUUCUGAUUUUUUAAUGUUGAUUUUGUAGCCAGCAAUCUUAUUGAACUAUUUUAUUAGUUCUAAUAGUUUACUAAUUCUGCUUCAUUUUCUAUGUAGCUAAUCAAAACAAAUGUGCCUCUUUGAGAAACUAUAUAGCACCAAGGUUAAAAGGUGAAAUCUGGAAGCCAUAAAAACUAGUUUCAAAACUGU